rnacentral:lncRNA from 1 species
CCAUCUGGGGAGUAAGAUGUCCCUUCUUAUUCCUGGACCCCAGAUUCCCGCUAGCCAAGGAGACCGUUGUGGUGUAUCCAGACCAUGCUAGCGGGUUUAGGAAGAUGGUGGGGACAUCCCUGUAUCUCCAUAUGAGCCUGUAAGCUGCGAAAGGAGCAGCGGGCUCUUUCAGCUACCUGUGCAUGGAAAGGAGGGUUCCCGUUCGCUAGGCGCGCAAGUGAGAGGCAGAACGGGAGUGUGCGCCAAGGUGUGUUUGCUUGUUGUCGCCGGUGCAGUGUUUCUUGUCCCUAGCGCCAGCUUCGCGCCAUCCCAGUGAGUUUGAUUGAAAUGCGACCUCAGGAAAGUGUGGAACCGGGAAGAGGGUGCUAGGCGGGAGGGAAGAGGGACGGAACCUGGAGAAAACCGGGAAGGACCGGCCAAAAGUCACCGCAGCGGCUCUGCGAGCUGCUUGGGGACUGCUAUUUUGAAAUGCGGCGACUGCCACUCCGGGGCGCAGGAUACCAGGGUCAAGUGUCACUUCCUCUGGCGGUCAAUCUCCAAUAUUCCUUGUAAUGUUUUUAAAUGGACGAAUUCAUUACUUGGGGACGUGUGAAUGGAGAGUGUUGGAGAGCCGGCUUGAUCAAUAGCGUCUACUGAUGGUUCAUUUUUCACUGCGGAGCGAGGAUCGCGGAGCUGAAGAAAGACCUAAUCAAUAACGCGCACCACGGACUGGAAAAGGUCAUUUAGGGAAGGUGGAAAAGUUCAGGCUCCCGGUGGGCGAAGCCUAAUCGCCCCCUUGGUUUUCCCUGCGACUCCCUCUACCGUUGUCCUUCUAGCACACUGCCACCAAGAGCUGGCUGCUUAAGGUGCCCACAGUGUGUGGCCUUCUGGGGAUUUUGAGAGCUAUAUGGGGCUCUGAGGAGCAGCAGGCACCAUCUGAAAGGUUUUACAGUUCACCACAACCAUGGUGGAAUGACAAAGCUUCCUGAGAAUGCUCUUAUAUGGGGCUCUCCACCUGACCACCACUUCCCCUGUGCAGGAUGCCAGUUGGAAGCAGGAAUUGAAUCCACCAGAGUCCAUCCAUUGUUGUGAGCUCCUGGUUCUGGUGCUAUAUUCUUGUCAGUUCUCUUAUUUCUCCAGUAUUUCUCCUAUAUCUCGUCAGCACACAAUUAACAUCUCUGAUAGUUCUCUCCCCAACAAAAAAUAAAUCUGUAAAAUUUAUCUCUAGAUAAAUCUCUAGAGCCAGGUACCUGAGGUUCAAGGCUGAUAAGGAGCUCGGAUUCCUGAAUUUGGCAUCCACUGAGCAGCACCUCCAGCUAUCAGCUUCUCAACCAGCGAGGUCCCUGCAGAAGCAUCCUCAGCUGAGUCCAGAACCUGAUUUCCACUGAUCAUUCAAAUAUGGGUCCUUGUGUCAUGACUACUGAACUGGAAGCUGCUAGUACCCAGGUCGAUAAAGGCACAAAUCCAAUGGUCUUGUUAGCCGUGUCUGUGAGUUGGGCAUGGGAAAGCACUCGAGCGCACACACACACACACACACACACACACACACACACACACACACACACAGGUCCAGAUCAGUAAAGUAAGGCAGGAAAGUUCAAGUUCAGAUAAGAGGAGCAAUCCAUGUAUGGGUUACCCUCUCCAGCUACUCAGGCCCAGCAGCUGGAACACCAGAGCCUUCCUUUUCCAGAGAGUCCAUAGCUUAAAGGUCAGGAAGAGAUAGAAAAGACAGGCCUUUUUAAAGCCUUUGGAAACAACUAACUUUUAAAUGAGCCUCUACUAUGUAACCAGAAUAGAGUUUAGACCAAAGAGGUCCUGGUCUCAUCCUAUUUCCUAGAAGAUAACAGAGCCUAGAGCUCUGAGCCUUAGCAAUAUACUAAAUUAUCGAUUAGUUUUUAAAGAGGCACCCAACCAUGAAUUAGCAACCCACACCAUUAAAAUGUGGGAUCAGCAAUAUUUGGUUUUGCAGAGCCCAUUACUUCUUACACACACACACACACACACACACACACACACACACGUCUAUAUUAAAUAUGGAAAAGAAAAAGAAAUUGGAAAGAGAAACAAAAUAUUUGGCUCUCUCUCUCUCUCUCUCUCUCUCUCUCUCUCUCACUAACAAAAUUGUUAUUAACACUUUUCUCAAAUCACCCAGAGAAAGCCACAGGAAUGUUCUGCCCAGGAAUCCUGCAGCUUCUCUUUGCCGGGCAAAGAAACACAGGCAAAACCACACUCAGUUCAAACAAACCUGUGUCUCCCACAGCAAGGAGACCGGCUGUCUGGGAUCUGACAACCCUGAAGACCCUGUCUGUUGCAGCUUCCCGGGAAUCUGACAGUCUUGGGGUGGGGGGUGGGGGGAUCACCUAUCUACAUUUACAGAAAAAGACACUGAGUCUGAAAGCUAAAAGGGAAUCCUCCUGCCUCUCACUUUCUCAGCAGUUCCUCAGAAGGGGAAACUUUGAUCAACCUGCAUUUUCUUCUCCUGUGGAGCUGAGCUUCCCACAGACCCACAUUCCACUCCCAACCAGAAAGGCAAAAACAUUCCAUUUUAGAAUGGGUUUUGUCCCUUUAGUUUUCAGCCUAGAGAAAACCUUCAGAAAGCCACAGACAGACUUGAUAGCUUCCAAAUGCUUUCCGAAACGUCCUUGGCUACUCGGGGAGCUAGCUACAGCCCUCUGCCCCGAAAGUUAAUUGCAAACUUAAACGAUUAUAAAUUCUCUCUUGCCUCGCCCCAAAGACAUUGUGUUAAUUUAUAACACGCGCAAGAGCCUGAUUAACAAACCCAGACUAAAUUUACAUGUGGCAGAAAGCAACAGAUUUAGUUUUAAAAUAAUAAACGAAGCAGAUUUUUGCCAAUU